GAUGAACGCUGGCGGCGUGCCUAAUACAUGCAAGUCGAGCGAAUGAUGAGGAGCUUGCUCCUCUGAUUUAGCGGCGGACGGGUGAGUAACACGUGGGUAAUCUGCCUGUAAGACGGGGAUAACUCCGGGAAACCGGGGCUAAUACCGGAUAACAAGAGAAGAAGCAUUUCUUCUUUUUGAAAGUCGGUUUUGGCUGACACUUACAGAUGAGCCCGCGGCGCAUUAGCUAGUUGGUGAGGUAACGGCUCACCAAGGCGACGAUGCGUAGCCGACCUGGGAGGGUGAUCGGCCACACUGGGACUGAGACACGGCCCAGACUCCUACGGGAGGCAGCAGUAGGGAAUCUUCGGCAAUGGGCGAAAGCCUGACCGAGCAACGCCGCGUGAGCGAUGAAGGCCUUCGGGUCGUAAAGCUCUGUUGUUAGAGAAAAACAAGUACGAGAGUAACUGCUCGUACCUUGACGGUACCUAACCAGAAAGCCACGGCUAACUACGUGCCAGCAGCCGCAGUAA
rnacentral:rRNA from 1 species